CGGUUGAUCCUGCCGGAGGCCACUGCUAUCGGGGUUCGAUUAAGCCAUGCGAGUUGAGAGGGUUUAGACCCUCAGCGGACUGCUCAGUAACACGUGGAUAACCUGCCCUAAGGUGGAGAAUAACCCCGGGAAACUGGGGAUAAUACUCCAUAGAUUAGAGACACUGGAAUGUUCUUUAAUCGAAAGCUCCGGCGCCUUAGGAUGGAUCUGCGGUCGAUUAGGUUGUUGUUGGGGUAACGGCCCAACAAGCCUGUAAUCGAUACGGGUUGUGGGAGCAAGAGCCCGGAGAUGGAAUCUGAGACACGAUUCCAGGCCCUACGGGGCGCAGCAGGCGCGAAAACUUUACAAUGCAGGAAACUGUGAUAAGGGAACCCCGAGUGCCCGUAUACGCGGGCUGUCCAGGUGUUUAAAACGCAUCUGAAGAAAGGGCCGGGCAAGACCGGUGCCAGCCGCCGCGGUAAUACCGGCGGCUCGAGUGGUGGCCACUAUUAUUGGGCUUAAAGCGUCCGUAGCUGGACUCUUAAGUCUCUUGGGAAAUCCGCCGGCUUAACCGGCGGGCGUCUAAGAGAUACUGGGGGUCUAGGGACCGGGAGAGGUGAGAGGUACUCCGGGGGUAGGAGUGAAAUCCUGUAAUCCCCGGGGGACCACCGAUGGCGAAGGCAUCUCACCAGAACGGCUCCGACAGUGAGGGACGAAAGCUGGGGGAGCGAACCGGAUUAGAUACCCGGGUAGUCCCAGCCGUAAACUAUGCGCGUUAGGUGUACCGGUGACCACAAGUCACUGGGGUGCCGAAGGGAAACCGUGAAACGUGCCGCCUGGGAAGUACGGUCGCAAGGCUGAAACUUAAAGGAAUUGGCGGGGGAGCAC
rnacentral:rRNA from 1 species